GACGAACGCUGGCGGCGUGCUUAACACAUGCAAGUCGAACGAGGCCCCUCCUUCGGGAGGGUGUCCUAGUGGCGAACGGGUGAGUAACACGUGGGCAACCUGCCCUCAGCUCUGGGAUAACCCCAAGAAAUUGGGGCUAAUACCGGAUACGACCGCUGACCGCAUGGUCGGUGGUGGAAAGUUUUUCGGCUGGGGAUGGGCCCGCGGCCUAUCAGCUUGUUGGUGGGGUAGUGGCCUACCAAGGCGACGACGGGUAGCCGGCCUGAGAGGGUGACCGGCCACACUGGGACUGAGACACGGCCCAGACUCCUACGGGAGGCAGCAGUGGGGAAUAUUGCGCAAUGGGCGGAAGCCUGACGCAGCGACGCCGCGUGAGGGAUGACGGCCUUCGGGUUGUAAACCUCUUUCAGCAGGGACGAAGCGAAAGUGACGGUACCUGCAGAAGAAGCACCGGCCAACUACGUGCCAGCCGCCGCGGUAAGAC
rnacentral:rRNA from 1 species